GAUGAACGCUGGCGGCGUGCUUAAUACAUGCAAGUCGAACGGAGACUGUAGCAAUACUGUCUUAGUGGCGAACGGGUGAGUAACGCGUUGGUGACCUGCCCCGAAGAGGGGGAUAACAGUCCGAAAGGAUUGCUAAUACCCCAUGUGGUCGUUUGGAUUAGAUGCCUUACGACUAAACGGAUUUAUUCGCUUCGGGAGGGGCCUGCGUCCCAUCAGCUAGUUGGUAGGGUAAUAGCCUACCAAGGCGAUGACGGGUAGGGGACCUGAGAGGGUGGCCCCCCACAAUGGAACUGAAACACGGUCCAUACACCUACAGGUGGCAGCAGUAGGGAAUAUUGGUAAUCUGGGAAACCGGGAACCAGCAACGCCGCGUGCGCGAUGAAGGCCUUCGGGUUGUAAAGCGCUUUUUAAAGGGAUGAGGAAGGACAGUACCUUUAGAAUAAGCCUCGGCUAACUACGUG
rnacentral:rRNA from 1 species